UGUACGCGGAGGAGGAGAGGGAAUUGCUGGUGGAGCUGAGAGCACCAGCAUCGGCGGUGGGUACGCAUCACGUGAUGUCAGUACGCUGCUGUUACAAAGACUCAGCCACUAAAGAGAUGGUGUACGGUAAUGAACAGGCACUCCUUGUACCUCAACCCCACACCAUCAGAUCUGGGCCCAAGAUCGAAAGACUAAGAAAUCUAUUCAUCACGACGCGAGCCAUAGCUGAGACUAGGAGAUUGGUGGAGCAUGGUGAUAUGUCGAGCGGGCAUCACUUGCUGUCAUCGGCUCGAGCUUUGUUGAUGCAGUUCAACUCCAUAUCAGCCGAAGAGUACAUUCGGGGUUUGGAGACGGAGAUGGCGGAGCUACAUUGGAGGCGACAGCAGCAACUGGACCAACAACACAGGAGAAGAAGCAGCGAGACUAGGGAAGUGACGUUGGUGGAUGAGAAUGGGGAGCCGCUUACGCCGACAUCGGCGUGGAGAGCGGCUGAGAAGCUGGCUAAAGUAGCCAUGAUGAGGAAGUCGAUGAAUAAAGUGAGCGACUUGCACGGCUUCGAAAACGCUAGAUUCUGAUUUUCUUUUUCCUUUUCCUUUUCUUUUUAUUUUUCCUUUUUAUGGGUUUAUUUUUAAAAAGAAAAAAAGAAAAAAGGAAAAAAGCAAAAUGCAUAAACUGAUCCGUGGGGCGGGCGACGAAUGGAGACAAGUGGGUAGGAGACGGGAGUCGGGACGGGCCUUUGUGAGACCCCAUCCCAAACACCUGAAAUGAUAAUUGAGAGAGAUGUAUAUUGUACAUAUGGGAGGGAGUUUUGCUUGGUAAACCACUCUUUUAAUCUCGGCGGGGAGGAGUCUUCAUUUGUAUUUCACAAGGAGAUAAUGAUGGUGACAAACUUGUAAAUUGGUGGAUAAGAAGAAUAAUAUGGUGGCGUUUCCUUUUUUAAAUACCUUCAUCUCCCUUUAUUAUAUCAAAUGUAUGAUUUGGGUGUGGAGCCCCCUUGAGUUGAUUUUUUAGGAAUAAUGGGACCAUGGUCCAUGCAGAUACCAUCUUAUCUCUCCUUUUACCAUUAUACACCCUCAACAUCUCAAGAUAAUCAUUUCGGCAAAAGUAGUAUACUCUCUCCACUCUCUCUUCUCAAAUUAUGAGAAAGCAUCUUACCAUAUUCCCCCAUGAUCAACACAUUUAUGUGGUAUAUACCCCUGUCAAUUCUUUCUAGUUAAAAAUGGAAGGGUACAGAAAGGUUCAAUUUUUAUUCAAUCAAAGGGGUUGAGUCUACAAACUCAAUGAAUAUUGAUGUCAUGUUAGCCAUGGCCUUGGAUAAACAUAAAUUAUUUGAUUGAAAUUAUCAAAUCAAUGUUUCCCUUGUUGGAUUGUUGUCACUUAGCUAAACUCCCUUUCUAUGGUUUUUUUUUUUUUUUUUUUUAACAAAUUUUGUUGUUUCCAUUGAUUGAUUCUCAAAUAUUCAUUUGUACUAGUUGAAACCUAUGAGUUAAAAACUAAUAAUUCUCACUUUUUUUUAACUUUCACUUUUCUUUAAUAGUAUUCACACCUUUGGUAUACACAUUAUAUUUUUGGCUUUCUUUUUUUUCAUUAUUAUGAUAUCUUUGUUUCAUUCUAAAAUCUUUGAUUAUUUAACAAUAACAACUAAGAAUUUUUUUUUUCUUUUAUAGUUCAUAUGGAAAGAGAACAAACACAACAAUGAGAAUCAUAAUAACUAAACUUAAAUAAUAAUAAAAAUUAAAAGGUGUAAAUUUAAAAUACACUUUCACAAUUAAAUAAUGAAAAAAUAAUUUAUUUUAUAAGAUAGUUUAAUCAUUUAUAAUAAAUAAUAAGGGGAAAUUAUAUUAUGAUAAUUUAGAAUAAUUUGAUAGCAACUUAUAAAAAAAAUUACAAAUGGAAUAGUUUUAUGAUAUUAAAUAAAUAAAUAGGGGUAUUUUGGGAAGAAAAAAAGGUAUAAAAUAAUUUUUACAUUUAUAGGCUAUUGGAAGAAUGAUUUUAGAAGGCAGGAAUUGGGAAAGCAUCUUCUUUCAUUUUCAAUAAACUUUUGUCAAAGGGAAUUAAAUUUCUUACAAGGGCUUUUAAGAUAUUAUUUAAAAAGGAAUUAAUAUAUUAUUGAUUAAAUUUCAAAUGCUAUUUCUUACAAGGGUUUUAUUUAAAAGAGAAUUAAUAUUUUUAUCGAGGUUUUUUGAAGAAUGGUUAGAUUUUGGACUCCACAAUAUAAAAGAAAAUUAAAUUUUUUAUAGGGUUUUUUUUUUCAAAGAAAAGUUUGAAAAAUCAAGGCAUAAUAAUGACCAUUAUAUGGUGGACAAACAAAAAUAAUGGAAAUGGAAAUGAAAAUACAUGCUACUUAUUUUAUAUAAAAAGAAAUUAAUCAUUUUUAUAAGGGCUUUUCGAUAGAAAAGUUUGACUUAUAUACGAGUAAUUUGGGUAGAAAAGUUUUAUGAAGAGGUCAUACAUUUAUAUUAGUAAUAAUAAUAAUAAUAGAUAGGGAAUAAAAAUGAGUGACCUCAUUUUAGAUUAAUAGUAGAUGGGGAAUAAAAAGAAGUGACCCUUAACAUCUCAUUUGGAAACCACUUUAACACCGCAUUGCCUCUACACUUAGUGAAGCAUAACUUGCAAUGACAAGACAAAAUACACUAACCAAGAAUCAUGAUUCCUUGAAAAGUUGGUAAAACUUCGAUAUGCCACAGAGUAGAGAGUGGAAAUAUAAAAUUAUUGAUGCAAUGUUAAGGAUAAUAAAAUAGUAAGUAAACAUACUUGAAUCAAAGUAUAACCUAAAAAGAGUUCAAGCAACUUUAAAAAUGGUGUGAUGGCCUACCAAAUCUCAAAUCAUAUCUAAAACAUAGCUUGAUAAAAAAUAAGUAAAGAUUAUAAUUUGACCCAAUAAGUCGAUACUUGCCAAAAGGUAUUUUCAAAAUGAGAAACCUAAACAAACCUCCUAUAACUAGCACUUGUACUAGAAAAGAUAUAUAUAGCCUCAAAUACAAAAUAGAGUUGAUCCUAAAUGAAUUGAUCAUUGAAGAAAUUGUGCUUUUUCAAUUAGCAUCAUCCAUGGGAAACACUAGAUUUUUCAUGAAUCUAGCAAGAACAAAAAGACAAAUGAUUUCAACAAUAGAUGAAUCAAUCUAGAAAGAAGUAAAUGCAAGCCACAUAACAAUACAUAAUCAACUCUCUUAAUUGAAGGCAUGAAAUGGAAUACUAGUAAAUAACAUACUAAUAUCAAAUCGAAGUUUUGUUAUUUAGCAAGUAGAGCUUUUUGAAUUUGAAAUUAGGUUUUCACCUUAGGAAGAGUCAUGCAACCUACAACCUAGUGUAAUUAAGAUUUGGGACUAGGUGAAUCCUUCAAUUACUAUGAUCAACUAACAAUUCAAGAAGCACAAAGCAUCAACCAUGUGGGGAGCUAUUCAGAUGAACAACCCUGAGUAGUAUGGCACCUAGAAGAGUAAACCACCUCAAGUAGUAUUAUCGAACAACCUUAUCUACCCAAGCAACUAACCAUCAUAAAUAAAUUCAUUAUGUGUCUUCAAUGAACAACUUGGUAGUCGUUAUUCACAUAAAAAAAAAAAACAAUUGUUACAAACAAUCAAUGAUUGAACGUUAAGCAUUAAAUGUACAGUAAAGGUGUAGCCAUAAAAGUAAGAGGAAUGUUAUAAAUUUCCUCCUAUAAAAGCCAUCUCAAUAUUAGAAGCAAAGGUAUGCAAUUUGAUCAUUGAGGAAACUCUACCAAAAAAAUCCUCUUAAGCUAACUUAGCCACCAAAUGGGUAUGUCCAAAGACUCCAAACACACCUUUUUGUAGCCUCAUCUGGUGUAAGAGGAGUGUGAACGCCACUUGAAGGGAGAAUUGUCAUCCAAGGACCAACAAACCCACCAAUAGUCAAAUCUUAUUCCAAUAGCUUAGACGCUCAAAAAGAAAUAUGAAGAGUUGACCUCCAAAAUACAACAUCUAAUAUUGCGAAGCUUGGGAGGAAUUCUUCAAAUCUCCUCUUCCACUGAUUUCAUAAAAGAAGAAUCAUCUAUAUAUUUCAAUUCAUAAUACCAAAGUUUAGUUUAUAUAAUGAUGCGAGAAAUCGUAUUGAACACCUUUAUCACUCUAGCUUUUAAGAUACAACUUUGUUAUAGUUCCACUAAAUACCUCCUAUAGGUACGAUCCAAAACUAUAAGGAAUUCUAUCAAGUUUUCAUAUAACAAUAUUCUUAAAUGACAUUGAUAAAGAAAGAGUAUCAAUGUUCAUAUGCCUUUCCUUUUUUAUGGUGCACGUGAAAACCUUUAUCAAGAAUAUAACCAUGAUAUGAUAUGUAACCAAUCUUCACUUUUUAACAUGCAUAGCAUAUUAAGAAAAGUGUUCCAACGGUAUUUACACAAGCCUUGAGUGUCUUAGAUAGCUAUAGGUACUAAGUCAUUGUGAAUAUGACUAGCUAGUUUACUUACUUGUUUGUACUCUUAUAUGAAAUACUACUUGAAAGCCUAUAUUUAACUCAAAGAGGAAGCAGACUACCUAACUUGUUUACCCUAAGUACUUAAACAAAUCAAUCUUACACUUCUCCCACAAAACACAUAAUCUAAACCCAAGUACAAAAGGCUAAGCUUGUUUGUUUUAUAGACAUGGACAUUUUUCUCUAAUAGUCAUAGCUUCGCAUGUUGGCUCAUUUGUUGAUCCAAGCUUGCUUAAAUCACUAACAAGAAGAAAAAAGACUAUAUAGUAAGCUAAAUAAAGGAAAAACAAACUUAAAAUGAUGUGGCUAAUCAGAGGUUCAAUAGAAUCACGAGUUUAUUGUUAAGCUACAAAAGGGUAAUGAAACCUUGAAUGGAGUUGGCUUGUUAAAGUUAGGUUGAGGCAAGUGGGCUAGUCAUAGAAGCUAGUGAGCUACACUAUUUGCUUUAGUUGCCAUAUUUAAUUUUCUAUUUACAACUCUUGUUGGUC
rnacentral:lncRNA from 1 species